rnacentral:rRNA from 1 species
UACGGAGGGUGCAAGCAUUGAUCGGAAUUACUGGGCGUAAAGGGCGCGUAGGCGGUUGAAAAAGUCAGAUGUGAAAUUCCGGGGCUCAACCCCGGAGCAGCAUUUGAAACUUUUCAUCUAGAGUUCAGUUAGGGUAAACGGAAUUCCACGUGUAGCGGUGAAAUGCGUAGAUAUGUGGAAGAACACCGGUGGUGAAGACGGUUUACUGGGCUGAUACUGACGCUGAGGCGCGAAAGCUAGGGGAGCAAACAGG